rnacentral:rRNA from 1 species
GAUGAACGCUAGCGGCAGGCUUAAUACAUGCAAGUCGAGGGGCAUCAAGGUACACGAAAGUGUAUUGUUGGCGACCGGCGGACGGGUGAGUAAUAGGUAGGUAACCUACCUCAUACUGAGGCAUAGCUGGGAGAAAUUCCAGGUAAUUCCUCAUGAGGUUAUAUGACACAUGUGAUAUAAUCAAAGGUAUCGCAAGGUACUGGUAUGAGAUGGGCUUACUGACCAUUAGCUAGUUGGUGAGAUAAGAGCUCACCAAGGCGAAGAUGGUUAGGGGUUUUGAGAGAGAGAUCCCCCACAUUGGAACUGAGAUACGGUCCAGACUCCUACGGGAGGCAGCAGUAGGGAAUUUUGCGCAAUGGACGGAAGUCUGACGCAGCAACGCCGCGUGAAGGAUGACGGCCUCGGUUGUAACGUUACUUGUUGGUAGUGGGAAAAAGACCGUAAGGAAGUAAGGAAUUAGAUGGUACCGAUUCGAGUAAGACGACCGGCUAACUACGUAGCC